AGGGUCAUCACAACCCCUCUUAUGCCUCUUCCAAUCUGGAGCGACCGCACCACCGCCAGCGACAAAAUCCAAAUAAUGUUUGAUUUACAUUAAUUCAAUCGGAAAGGUAUUUUUGUUCUAAUAUUAUGUUUAAUUAAUAUUAUUACUAUGUAGGAGAGUGUUGAGAGAAUAUAUUGAACACCAUCAACAUUAUGUGGCGGCGUCAGAAUUCAUAUGUAAUGGAUUUUUUGUAAAUGGAAUUUUUUGUGAUGGAUUUAGGUAAAAUUUUAAAGGGGAUUUUUUUAUUGUGGCAUCUUAGUUUGUUUAAUUUUCGCUAUUGUAUUGAAUUUUGUAUCAGUAGAGCUUCUCAGUUUGAUCUAUAAGGCAUGUCAGUAUCACGUGCAGCGUUGGACGAUAACAAUUGCUGUUGUUCAUUGGCACAUUUGUUCCUUUACAAUUAUUAAUAAUGAAAUCAAUAAUUAAUUAACAGCAAGAGAUAUUAGAUUCUUGGUGUUUAGAGAAUUAAAUCAACAAGAAAAGAUUAAAAAAAAAUGUCAGAACUUUUAGAGGGAUUCAAUCAACUAAUCCGAGUUUAAAGUAUUAAGUAAGUUUUUAGUGGAUUUUGAUAAAAUUGGAGUCAAUUUUCUCUUUGUAAAGGGGAUUUUUUUGUAGUGGGUUUUUAUAUUUUUGUAGUGAUUUCUAUGAUGAGCUUGUAAUGGAUUUCAGAUUUUUCGCGGAGUCGUCGUUGGCGAUGGGAGAUGGAAGAUGAUCGAAGGUUCAAGAAUAGUGGAUUUUUUUUGUUUUUUUUUUGUUCUUUUUUGUUUUCUUGUUGUGUUUGUACUUUGUAGUGGAUUAUUUCUGGGUGGUAUUCGGGUUGGGGCGGCACAUGAAUGAGCUUUUGUUUUCUGGAUUUUUGGGGAGGUGUCGGUGGCCAUGGGAGAUGGAUGACGAUUUAGGGUUUGGGAAUAGUGGAUUUCGUUUUUUUUUUUUCUGUUAACUUUCUGUUGUGUUUUUAGUCAAUUACUUUAAUUCGUUGUGAAUUACGCAGAUUUCGAUAAGUUUGUAGUGGAUUACAUCAAUAUUAAUGUGCAUUACUUUAAUGUCAUAGUGAAUUUUACGGUAAUUUCAUAGUGGUUUUCGAUAAUUUCAUAGUGG
rnacentral:lncRNA from 1 species